rnacentral:rRNA from 1 species
CUUGACGUUAGCGGCGGACGGGUGAGUAACACGUGGGUAACCUACCUAUAAGACUGGGACAACUUCGGGAAACCGGAGCUAAUACCGGAUAAUAUGUUGAACCGCAUGGUUCAAUAGUGAAAGAUGGUUUUGCUAUCACUUAUAGAUGGACCCGCGCCGUAUUAGCUAGUUGGUGAGGUAACGGCUCACCAAGGCAACGAUACGUAGCCGACCUGAGAGGGUGAUCGGCCACACUGGAACUGAGACACGGUCCAGACUCCUACGGGAGGCAGCAGUAGGGAAUCUUCCGCAAUGGGCGAAAGCCUGACGGAGCAACGCCGCGUGAGUGAUGAAGGUCUUAGGAUCGUAAAACUCUGUUAUUAGGGAAGAACAAACGUGUAAGUAACUGUGCACGUCUUGACGGUACCUAAUCAGAAAGCCACGGCUAACUACGUGCCAGCAGCCGCGGUAAUACGUAGGUGGCAAGCGUUAUCCGGAAUUAUUGGGCGUAAAGCGCGCGUAGGCGGUUUUUUAAGUCUGAUGUGAAAGCCCACGGCUCAACCGUGGAGGGUCAUUGGAAACUGGAAAACUUGAGUGCAGAAGAGGAAAGUGGAAUUCCAUGUGUAGCGGUGAAAUGCGCAGAGAUAUGGAGGAACACCAGUGGCGAAGGCGACUUUCUGGUCUGUAACUGACGCUGAUGUGCGAAAGCGUGGGGAUCAAACAGGAUUAGAUACCCUGGUAGUCCACGCCGUAAACGAUGAGUGCUAAGUGUUAGGGGGUUUCCGCCCCUUAGUGCUGCAGCUAACGCAUAAGCACUCCGCCUGGGGAGUACGACCGCAAG